rnacentral:hammerhead_ribozyme from 1 species
GUCUGACGAGUCCUAAAUGGGACGAAACGCGCGUCCUGGAU